CGACUCUCCCUUUGUGCACCAGUCCACAGACGCAGAGUGACAAGACUGGGGACAAGAAGACAGAGCAAUUGCAGCACAACUUUCUUCAAAUCAAUGCAUCCUAAAUCAAUCGAAAUGCUCUCGGAGCUUUUGGGAAAUGAUUCUGCAGUUUACAGUUAAUUCAAAAAGCAGCAACUUCUGCUCGGGAACACAGAUUCCAGCGUCCUUAACGACAUGACUUGCUGUGGAGGAGCACGUGAGGUUUUGUGGUCACAGAACAGAGGAAGAUUAUGAACCUCGAUGACAUCACCGGGGACAGGUCCCAUCCCAGGAGGACACUGGGAGCUUAUCGAGAUGUGGACAGACUGCAGUCCUGAGAGUGGAGAAACUUAGAAGGGAAGAUGUCCAUUCCCUAAAACAUGGAAGAGUUAGAUAAACACACCAUAGGGUCCUGACUUACCUCAUCUACCAGAGAGCUGGAGUCACAGAACUACAGAUUUCUUGAAACACUGGGGAACUGGAAUGUGCCCCACCUGAGUCCAGUUUACCUGUGAGUGAGGAACCACAGCUGCCUUAGAUGUGUCUAAAGUUGGGUUUCUUCUGAAAGUUGGAUGUGAGAAGUCCAGAAACCUGGACACAGAAGCAUUUACAUGAAGCAAGCAUGGCCUCAUCUCUACAGACCUCCUGAGGACCACAGGGAAGAGCCAGUACAUGGAGAAGCAAGGACUUGCAUCCCCUGGACGGCAGAUUCAGAAGAGUGGGCAGCCCCUGCUGUAGGAAAGGAGGAAGUGCCUCUGGCUUAGAUCCUUCUGCCCCAUUUCUCCCACGGACAGGAGACAUGGCUGACUUAGGGGAAGCAGAGCUCUUGUCUUGCCUUUGGAGAAGGCUCAUCUCAGCUGGAACAAAGAGAGAAGGCAAGAUUUACACUUAUGGGGAAGAAGGAUUCCAUCCUAGACACCAUUGGAGAUGUCUUCUCACUAUGCCCAGAGCCAGUGUGGUUGCCACAGAGAGGAAGGGGCUCAGUGUCAUUAAGUCAUCUGUAACUGUGGCCCAGUGACACGGGUCUUUGUUGGUCUGAAGAUAAGUUAGGACAACACAGAGCAUCACUUGGAAAGCCAAGCAGGCGGCGAUGAAGUGCGACUUUGGAAGAUCUGAGAGGAAAACAUGUCAGUGCGGAAAUAUGUGCUGGUAAAAGCACAGAAGUGUCGAGGUAUCUUCAGGAAAACACUGGAAAGACUUCAUUAGCAGCACACCUGCUCUCUAAGAACUCUGAGAGAUAUUUCAUUAAGGAAGGAAAGCCAGGCAGGAACUGAGAUCUGCACAGAGGAAUCGACUGGUGAUGUAAUAGAAACCAAAGUGUGAAAAUUAUUUCUUCCCAUUUUAAUUGCCGCAAAGAUAAUUGACUGCUUGAAAUAGAAAUUGUGGUAGUGGCCUGUGUGUAUGUGUGUGUUUAUUUGUGUGUGGUUUGUGUGUGUGUGUGUAUGGUGUACGUGUGUAUGUGUAUGAAUGUCUGUGUGUGUGUCUGUGUGGUGUAUGUGUGUGUCUCUCUGUGUGUGUGGCAUGUGUAUGUGUGUGUGGUAUGUGGGUAUGUGUAUGAGUGUCUGUAUGUCUCUGUGUAUGUGAGUGUCUCUCUGUGCGUGUAUGAAUGUCUGUGUGUGUGUCUCUGUGUGUAUGAAUGUCUGUGUGUAUGUGUGUGUGGUAUAUGUGUAUGUGUAUGAGUGUCUGUGUGUGUAUGUUUCUGUGUAUAUGUCUGUCUCUCUGUGUAUGAAUGUCUGUGUGUCUGUGUGUAUGUGUGUACAUGCAUGCCCCCUGCACAGUAGUGUUAAUGUCUGUACAGAUACCUGUGGGGAUCAGGAGGGGGAGCGAGAACCCCUGGAGCUGAAGUUCCUAUGGUUUUGAGUCAUGCAGU
rnacentral:lncRNA from 1 species